UGCCCUAGUAACGGCGAGUGAAGCGGCAACAGCUCAAAUUUGAAAUCUGGCGUCUUCGGCGUCCGAGUUGUAAUUUGCAGAGGGCGCUUUGGCAUUGGCAGCGGUCCAAGUUCCUUGGAACAGGACGUCACAGAGGGUGAGAAUCCCGUACGUGGUCGCUAGCCUUUACCGUGUAAAGCCCCUUCGACGAGUCGAGUUGUUUGGGAAUGCAGCUCUAAAUGGGAGGUAAAUUUCUUCUAAAGCUAAAUACUGGCCAGAGACCGAUAGCGCACAAGUAGAGUGAUCGAAAGAUGAAAAGCACUUUGGAAAGAGAGUUAAAAAGCACGUGAAAUUGUUGAAAGGGAAGCGCUUGCAGCCAGACUUGCCUGUAGUUGCUCAUCUAGGUUUCUACCUAGUGCACUCUUCUAUAGGCAGGCCAGCAUCAGUUUGGGCGGUUGGAUAAAGGUCUCUGUCAUGUACCUCUCUUCGGGGAGAACUUAUAGGGGAGACGACAUGCAACCAGCCUGGACUGAGGUCCGCGUAUCUGCUAGGAUGCUGGCGUAAUGGCUGUAAGCGGCCCGUCUUGAAACACGGACCAAGGAGUCUAACAUCUAUGCGAGUGUUUGGGUGUCAAGCCCGAACGCGUAAUGAAAGUGAACGGAGGUGGGAACCUUUCGGGGUGCACCAUCGACCGAUCCUGAUGUCUUCGGAUGGAUUUGAGUAAGAGCAUAGCUGUUGGGACCCGAAAGAUGGUGAACUAUGCUUGAAUAGGGUGAAGCCAGAGGAAACUCUGGUGGAGGCUCGCAGCGGUUCUGACGUGCAAAUC
rnacentral:rRNA from 1 species